CGCGUAGGCGGGCCACCAAGUCCGGGGUGAAAUCCUUCGGCUUAACCGGAGAAUUGCCUGGGAUACUGGUGGUCUUGAGGGAGGUAGGGGCACGCGGAACUUCCGGUGGAGCGGUGAAAUGCGUUGAUAUCGGAAGGAACGCCGGUGGCGAAAGCGGCGUGCUGGCCCUCUUCUGACGCUGAGGCGCGAAAGCCAGGGGAGCGAACGGGAUUAGAUACCCCGGUAGUCCUGGCCCUAAACGAUGGGUACUAGGUAGUGGACUUGACAUGGGUUCACUGCCGGAGCAAAAGUGUUAAGUACCCCGCCUGGGGAGUAUGGUCGCAAGGCUGAA
rnacentral:rRNA from 1 species